rnacentral:rRNA from 1 species
GAUGAACGCUGGCGGCGUGCCUAACACAUGCAAGUCGAACGGAAAGGCCCUGCUUUUGCGCGGUUCUCGAGUGGCGAACGGGUGUGUAACACGUGAGUAUCCUGCCCUUGACUGUGUGAUAUCUUCAGGAAACUGCGGCUAAUACCGGAUAGGAGCUCCUGCUGCAUGGUGGUGGUUGGAAAGAUUCGGCGGUUGUGGAUGGACUCGCGGCUUAUCAGCUUGUUGGUGGGGUAGUUGCUUACCAAGCCUUCGACGGGUAGCCUGCAUGGGAGGGUGGACGGGGACAAUAGGCCUGAGGGAGGGAGCAGUCGGGUACGGGAGGCAGCGGGCGAAAGCAUUACACAGCGAGGGGGAGCGUGAUACGGAGGUGCUGGGAGCGUGAAGACGUCCUUCGGGGGGUGAACCGCUGUCGCAUGAGACGUAGCGUGAGUGACGGUAACGAGUAAAGAAGCACCGGCUAACUACGUG